rnacentral:rRNA from 1 species
AUCGAACGCUGGCGGCAUGCCUUACACAUGCAAGUCGAACGGCAGCACGGGGCAACCUGGUGGCGAGUGGCGAACGGGUGAGUAAUGCAUCGGAACGUGCCAUUGAGUGGGGGAUAACGUAGCGAAAGUUGCGCUAAUACCGCAUAUUCUGUGAGCAGGAAAGCAGGGGACCGCAAGGCCUUGCGCUCUUUGAGCGGCCGAUGUCAGAUUAGCUAGUUGGUGAGGUAACGGCUUACCAAGGCGACGAUCUGUAGCGGGUCUGAGAGGAUGAUCCGCCACACUGGAACUGAGACACGGUCCAGACUCCUACGGGAGGCAGCAGUGGGGAAUUUUGGACAAUGGGCGCAAGCCUGAUCCAGCCAUGCCGCGUGAGUGAAGAAGGCCUCGG